rnacentral:miRNA from 1 species
AAUAGUGUAGAUCAAGUCUAA